rnacentral:rRNA from 1 species
GAUGAACGCUGGCGGCGUGCCUAAUACAUGCAAGUCGAGCGAACGGACGAGAAGCUUGCUUCUCUGAUGUUAGCGGCGGACGGGUGAGUAACACGUGGAUAACCUACCUAUAAGACUGGGAUAACUUCGGGAAACCGGAGCUAAUACCGGAUAAUAUUUUGAACCGCAUGGUUCAAAAGUGAAAGACGGUCUUGCUGUCACUUAUAGAUGGAUCCGCGCUGCAUUAGCUAGUUGGUAAGGUAACGGGUUACCAAGGCAACGAUGCAUAGCCGACCUGAGAGGGACGUCCGAUAGACGGGAACUGAGAAACGUCCCAGACUCCUACGGUGGGCAACAGUAGAGAAUCUUACGCAAUGGGCGAGAGCCUGACGUAGCAACGCCGCGUGAGUGAUGAAGGUCUUAGGAUCGUAAAACGCUGUUAUUAGGGAAGAACAAAUGUGUAAGUAACUGUGCACAUCUUGACGGUACCUAAUCAAAAAGCCACGGCUAACUACGUG